UAGGGAAUAUUGCACAAUGGAGGCAACUCUGAUGCAGCGACGCCGCGUGAGUGAUGAAGGCCUUCGGGUUGUAAAGCUCUGUCGUAUGGGAAUAAGAAAGUGAAUGUACCAUACAAGAAAGGAUCGGCUAACUUCGUGCCAGCAGCCGCGGUAAGACGAGGGAUCCUAGCGUUGUUCGGAAUCAUUGGGCGUAAAGCGGGCGCAGGUGGCUUUGUAAGUCAAGUGUGAAAGCCCAGGGCUCAACCCUGGAAGUGCAUUUGGUACUGCUAAGCUUGAGUGCGAGAGAGGUUACUAGAAUUCCUGGUGUAGUGGUGAAAUACGUAGAUAUCAGGAGGAAUACCGGAGGCGAAGGCGGGUAACUGGCUCGACACUGACACUCAGGCCCGAAAGCGUGGGGAUC
rnacentral:rRNA from 1 species